rnacentral:lncRNA from 1 species
ACCAGAGAACCCUAAAUGUUUACUGUCUCCAGUGUGUUUGGAAACAGCUUGGACCAGUGUAGAGUGCUGGAACAGAGAGUCAAGAGCAUCAGCGCGCCACCCAGAUAGCAUCUGAAAGAUUGUAAACAGGAUGAUUCACAAACUGGUGGCAGCAGCUAAAAGCAGUGCGGUUCGCGACCCUCAGCACACGCCAAGAUUCUAAAUGGGAUGUUGCGACAACAAAGCAGCCUGAAGAUUCUAAAACACAAUGGUGUCACCAGGACAUUCAGAGGGUGCUGUAACCUGUAACUGACAAGCAUACUCAUCAUCAUUUCUCCUUGGGCAUGCUGCAUCCUUGCGCUCCACUGGGCCUCCUGUUGCAUUGCUAUUUAUUUGCGUCUACAAGCAGGGGAGCAAGUAUGCUGCGGAAAUAGCCCCAGAGAGGUGUCUGAUUCCCAUAGGCCCUUGCAGCCAGCUACAACUGAAUGAUUUCCGAUAUCAGUUACUGAAAAUUCUGACCAUGAUAUGCAGACCAUGGCAGAUCUUAAUGACAAUAAUAUCGUCUCACAUUUUGAUGGCGUUUAACAGUUUACAAAGUGCUUUCACAUACAUUAUCACAUUUAAUCCCAGUGAGGUCGAUAGUCUUCUUCUCCAUUUUAUUGGCAGCUUGGUGUAGUGGAAAGAGCUGUGGAAUCAGACAGACUUAAGUUCAGAUUCUGGCUCUGACUACCAAACCAUGGACAAUUUGCUUCAU